UACGUAGGGGGCUAGCGUUGUCCGGAAUCAUUGGGCGUAAAGAGCGUGUAGGCGGUCCGGUAAGUCCGCUGUGAAAGUCAAAGGCUCAACCUUUGAAAGCCGGUGGAUACUGUGAGGCUAGAGUACGGAAGAGGCGAGUGGAAUUCCUGGUGUAGCGGUGGAAUGCGCAGAUAUCAGGAAGAACACCCGUGGCGAAAGCGGCUCUCUGGGACGGUACUGACGCUGAGACGCGAAAGCGUG
rnacentral:rRNA from 1 species